rnacentral:rRNA from 1 species
CGGGUGAGUAACGCGUGGGUAACCUGCCCCAUACAGGGGGAUAACAGUUAGAAAUGACUGCUAAUACCGCAUAAGCGCACUGCAUCGCAUGAUGGAGUGUGAAAAACUGAGGUGGUAUGGGAUGGGCCCGCGUCUGAUUAGCCAGUUGGCGGGGUAACGGCCCACCAAAGCGACGAUCAGUAGCCGACCUGAGAGGGUGACCGGCCACAUUGGGACUGAGACACGGCCCAAACUCCUACGGAAGGCAGCAG